UUCCGGUUGAUCCUGCCGGAAGCUACUGCUAUUGGGAUUCGAUUAAGCCAUGCAAGUCAAAUGUUUUUCGUAAACAUGGCGCAAUGCUCAGUAACACGUGGAUAACCUGCCCUUUUGGUCCGGCAUAACCUCGGGAAACUGAGGUUAAUACCGGAUAACUCUUUUUGGCCGGAAAGCAUUAAGAGUAAAAGAAUUUCGCCAAAGGAUGGGUCUGCGGCCUAUCAGGUAGUAGCGGGUGUAACGCACCCCCUAGCCGACGACGGGUACGGGUUGUGAGAGCAAGAGCCCGGAGAUGAAUUCUGAGACAUGAAUUCAGGCCCUACGGGGCGCAGCAGGCGCGAAAACUUUACAAUGCAGGAAACUGUGAUAAGGAAACACCGAGUGCUCACAUCAAAUGUGGGCUGUCCAUAUGCUUAAACCGCAUAUGUUAGCAAGGGCCGGGCAAUACCGGUGCCAGCCGCCGCGGUAAUACCGGUGGCCCGAGUGGUAGCCGCUUUUAUUUGGUCUAAAGGGUCCGUAGCCGGUCCGGUCAGUCCAUUGGUAAAUUCGAAUGCUCAACAUUCGAUCUUUCAGUGGAUACUUCCAGACUUGGAACCGGGAGAGGUAAGAGGUACUGUAGGGGUAGGAGUGAAAUCUUGUAAUCCCUAUGAGACCACCUGUGGCGAAGGCGUCUUACCGGAACGGGUUCGACGGUGAGGGACGAAAGCCGGGGGCACGAACCGGAUUAGAUACCCGGGUAGUCCCGGCCGUAAACAAUGCUCGCUAGGUGUCGGGUAUGGCGUGACUGUAUCCGGUGCCGUAGGGAAGCCGUGAAGCGAGCCACCUGGGAAGUACGGCCGCAAGGCUGAAACUUAAAGGAAUUGGCGGGAA
rnacentral:rRNA from 1 species